GACGAACGCUGGCGGCGCGCUUAACACAUGCAAGUCGAGCGAAGCGGCGGACGGGUGAGGAACACGUGAGAAACAUGCCUUUGACACAGGGAUAGUCUCUGGAAACCGGUAUUAACACCAGAUAGUCAAAGAUGGACUCGCGUCCCAUUAGCUAGUUGGUGAGUCACAGCCUACCAAGGAAACAAUGGGUAGCCGGCCUGGGAGGGUGACCCGCCACUUUGGACCUGGGAACCGGUCCACACUCUCCGGGAGGCAGCAGUGGGGAAUAUUGCACGAUGGGGGAAACCCUGAUGCAGCGACGCCGCGUGAGCGAAGAAGGUUUUCGAAUCGUAGAGCUCUGUCCUAUGGGUAGCGGUACCAUAGGAGGAAGCCCCGGCUAACUACGUGCCAGCAGCCGCGGUAAUAC
rnacentral:rRNA from 1 species